AGUGAACGCUGGCGGCAGGCCUAACACAUGCAAGUCGAACGGCAGCACACUAAGAGCUUGCUCCUACGGGUGGCGAGUGGCGGAAGGGUGCGGAAUACAUCGGAAUCUACUUUUUCGUGGGGGAUAACGUAGGGAAACUUCCGCUAUUACCGCAUACGACCAACGGGUGAAAGCAGGGGAACUUUGGACCUUGCGCGUUUGAAUGAGCCGAUGUCGGAUUAGCUAGUUGGUGGGGUAAAGGCCCACCAAGGCGACGAUCCGUAGCUGGUCUGAGAGGACGAUCAGCCACACUGGAACUGAGACACGGUCCAGACUCCUACGGGAGGCAGCAGUGGGGAAUAUUGGACAAUGGGCGCAAGCCUGAUCCAGCCAUGCCGCGUGGGUGAAGAAGGCCUUCGGGUUGUAAAGCCCUUUUGUUAGGAAAGAAAAGCAGCAGGUUAAUACCCCGCUGUUCUGACGGUACCCGAAGAAUAAGCACCGGCUAACUUCGUG
rnacentral:rRNA from 1 species